CAGCCGCCACGGUAAUACGGAGGGUGCAAGCGUUAAUCGGAAUUACUGGGCGUAAAGCGCACGCAGGCGGUCUGACAAGUCAGAUGUGAAAUCCCCGGGCUUAACCUGGGAACUGCAUUUGAAACUGUCAGGCUGGAGUCUUGUAGAGGGGGGUGGAAUUCCAGGUGUAGCGGUGAAAUGCGUAGAGAUCUGGAGGAAUACCGGUGGCGAAGGCGGCCCCCUGGACAAAGACUGACGCUCAGGUGCGAAAGCGUGGGGAGCAAACAGGAUUAGAUACCCGAGUAGUCCCUGUCUCUUAUAA
rnacentral:rRNA from 1 species